rnacentral:misc_RNA from 1 species
GAGGGUAGGGCCGGUUCGCCAAUAAAAUAGGAAAAGGCCAGCUCCAGUUCUACCACAGCAAUUGCCAGCGAGGGACUUGGCAGAGAACGCCAAUUUCUUUUCCUUCAUUUCUCUCGCUCCCUUGCAAAUUCCCUCAAUGGCUCUCUCCGAUUCUUCUCGCCAAUCCCUUAUCCCUAGCUUCAUCUACUCCUCUGCCUCUCCCAAAACCCUUUCUCUUUCCAAACUCCUCCACUCUAAUCCCACCCAACCUUCCCCUUCGCCGUCGCCAUCACUCAUGAG